GGGGCAAGGGUAGCUUGCUACCUGACCUAGCGGCGGACGGGUGAGUAAUGCUUAGGAAUCUGCCUAUUAGUGGGGGACAACAUUCCGAAAGGAAUGCUAAUACCGUAUACGCCCUACGGGGGAAAGCAGGGGAUCUUCGGACCUUGCGCUAAUAGAUGAGCCUCAAGUCAGCAUUAGCUAGUUGGUGGGGAAAAGGCCUACCAAGGCGACGAUUCUGUAGCGGGCCUGAGAGGAUGAUCCGCCCACACUGGGACUGAGACACGGUCCCAGACUCCUACGGUAGGCAAUAAGUAGGGGAAUAUCUGGACAAUGGGCAGAAAGCCUGAUCCAGUCAUGCCGAGUGGGUGAACGACGGCCUUUCGCCUUGCAAUAGCACUCUUAUCACGAGGAGGAUGGCUAUUUGAGAUUAAGCCACUUCAGAAUACGAGGACUUUAAUCCUCAUAAUUAAACUACCGCCCUACCUCGUGCGCAUACUGCACUCGAUAAUACAGGCGGCUGC
rnacentral:rRNA from 1 species